GGGCCGAUAGCUCAGCUUGGCUGGAGCGUUCGGCUGAUAACCGAAAGGUCGCCGGUUCAAAUCCGGCUCGGCCCACCA
rnacentral:tRNA from 1 species